ACACGUGGGUAACCUGCCUUAUAGUGGGGGAUAGCCUUUCGAAAGGAAGAUUAAUACCGCAUAAGAUUGUAGUAUCGCAUGAUAUGGCAAUUAAAGGAGCAAUUCGCUAUAAGAUGGACCCGCGUCGCAUUAGCUAGUUGGUGAGGUAAUGGCUCACCAAGGCGACGAUGCGUAGCCGACCUGAGAGGGUGAUCGGCCACAUUGGGACUGAGACACGGCCCAGACUCCUACGGGAGGCAGCAUG
rnacentral:rRNA from 1 species